CCUUGUUUUUACAGAGGAGGAAACUGAGGCCCAGAGAGGGGAAGGGACGCAGAAUCAGAGAGCUAGAGUGGAAAGUGACCUCAGAGGCUCUGAACAAAGUAUUUACUCUGUGCCAGGGACUCUGCUAAGCACUGGGGAGCCACAGUAAGAGAGAGACCCAGCUCUUGCCCUGGUGCAACUGACAGUCUCGUUGGAGAUGACUCGAUCGUAACCAGGGCUCAAUUCAGGGACUGCUUCCUCCAUGAACUUGCCCUGGGAUCUUGCAAAGAACCCUACCCUGUGAAUCCACAAGCCUUGGCUCUGAAUCCCAACUCUGCCAUCACUGUCACUAUAUGACCCUGGGCCCAGCUCCAGGACACUUUUUUUUUCCCUCCCAUGAUGCCCUCAGCAUCCUGAGACCCCCUGCUGGGAAUCUGAGAAUGCCUGGGGCCAUUGCUUUCUCUCUCCUGAGCAUUUUCUAACCUGUUCAAGUUACCUGUGGGGUAUCAUGGAAAAAACCUUGUGGCAUCCCUGUUGCAGCAGGAGUCGGGGGCCACUUAUCUUUUCUCCGGGUAAAAUGAGGUUCCUUCCAGCUCUGGCAUCCCAGGAUCCUCGAAUCCCUAGGGAAACACCCCGAGGCCUGAAGAUGGACUUCCUCCAUGAUACCAGCCAAAUCAUUUUAAUAAUUUAAUAAUAAUCCAAACCUUUGACUUCAA